UGUCUUUUUCCGCUUUGCUGCUGAUAAUUAUGAUCAUGUCAACAGCAAAGCGAAAAGGUCUCC
rnacentral:precursor_RNA from 1 species